rnacentral:rRNA from 1 species
GACGAACGCUGGCGGCGUGCUUAACACAUGCAAGUCGAACGGAAAGGCCCUGCUUUUGUGGGGUGCUCGAGUGGCGAACGGGUGAGUAACACGUGAGUAACCUGCCCUUGACUUUGGGAUAACUUCAGGAAACUGGGGCUAAUACCGGAUAGGAGCUCCUGCUGCAUGGUGGGGGUUGGAAAGUUUCGGCGGUUGGGGAUGGACUCGCGGCUUAUCAGCUUGUUGGAGGGGUAGUGGCUUACCAAGGCUUUGACGGGUAGCCGGCCUGAGAGGGUGACCGGCCACAUUGGGACUGAGAUACGGCCCAGACUCCUACGGGAGGCAGCAGUGGGGAAUAUUACACAAUGGGCGGAAGCCUGAUGCAGCAACGCCGCGUGCGGGAUGACGGCCUUCGGGUUGUAAACCGCUUUCGCCUGUGACGAAGCGUGAGUGACGGUAAUGGGUAAAGAAGCACCGGCUAACUACGUG